rnacentral:rRNA from 1 species
GUACGUGAAACCGUUCAGGGGUAAACGGGAGAAAUCCUGAAUUCGAAGGGGAUUGGAUUCAACUCCUAUACCGUGUUGUACAGGCUGCCAGACCCCACCAGAUGUCGCUGGUCGCCCACGGUGAUUCAUUUCGCUUGUGGUGUCGUUCCUGGCGGUCACUCGGUGGGAUGGUGUUGCUCUGACACCGGAGGAGCGCACUUCUUCCCUUGUAGAAACGUCGCGACCCGUUGGGUUCCGGUCUAAGGCCCGGGAUGGCAGACCAUGUGACCUGUGAGUCUGUGUACUCUCAGGCUCGUGGACUCCUGGUGACCCGGCCGGCUGCCCGACGGUAUGACCAGAGGAGUCGAUCCGCAAAAAUUGGGAAACACUGUGGCUGUGUUGCGUCCGGCCCGGCGCCGACACGUGGAGAUCGGGGACGUCAGUGCUGGUUGCACGGUCCUCGGUCUGCUGCGUCGUUGGGUCUGCUGGUGUCCUCGGACUGGAUCUGUUCUCCCGUCUGCGACGCCCACCUUCGGAUGG